CCUACGGGUGGCACCAGUAGGGAAUCUUCGGCAAUGGGGGGAACCCUGACCGAGCAACGCCGCGUGAGUGAAGAAGGUUUUCGGAUCGUAAAGCUCUGUUGUAAGAGAAGAACGAGUGUGAGAGUGGAAAGUUCACACUGUGACGGUAUCUUACCAGAAAGGGACGGCUAACUACGUGCCAGCAGCCGCGGUAAUACGUAGGUCCCGAGCGUUGUCCGGAUUUAUUGGGCGUAAAGCGAGCGCAGGCGGUUAGAUAAGUCUGAAGUUAAAGGCUGUGGCUUAACCAUAGUACGCUUUGGAAACUGUUUAACUUGAGUGCAAGAGGGGAGAGUGGAAUUCCAUGUGUAGCGGUGAAAUGCGUAGAUAUAUGGAGGAACACCGGUGGCGAAAGCGGCUCUCUGGCUUGUAACUGACGCUGAGGCUCGAAAGCGUGGGGAGCAAACAGGAUUAGAUACCCCAGUAGUC
rnacentral:rRNA from 1 species